UGGCUCAGCAUGAACGCUAGCGACAGGCCUAACACAUGCAAGUCGAGGGGCAUCGGGGCGAGGAGCAAUCCUUGCCGCCGGCGACCGGCGCACGGGUGAGUAACGCGUAUGCGACCUGCCCGUUGCAGGGGGAUAAUCGGGAGAAAUCCCGUCUAAUACCGCGUAACGCCGCGGGGCUGCAUGGCCCUGCGGCCAAAGGGAGCGAUUCCGGCAACGGAUGGCAUGCGUGACAUUAGCUAGUUGGCGGGGCAACGGCCCACCAAGGCGACGAUGUCUAGGGGUUCUGAGAGGAAGGUCCCCCACACUGGUACUGAGACACGGACCAGACUCCUACGGGAGGCAGCAGUGAGGAAUAUUGGUCAAUGGGCGCGAGCCUGAACCAGCCAAGUCGCGUGAGGGAUGACGGCCCUACGGGUUGUAAACCUCUUUUGUCGGGGAGCAAAUUCCGCCACGUGUGGCGGAGUCGAGAGUACCCGAAGAAAAAGCAUCGGCUAACUCCGUGCCAGCAGCCGCGGUAAUACGGAGGAUGCGAGCGUUAUCCGGAUUUAUUGGGUUUAAAGGGUGCGUAGGCGGACUGUCAAGUCAGCGGUAAAAUACGGGGGCUCAACCUCCGCCCGCCGUUGAAACUGACGGUCUUGAGUGGGCGAGAAGUAUGCGGAAUGCGUGGUGUAGCGGUGAAAUGCAUAGAUAUCACGCAGAACUCCGAUUGCGAAGGCAGCAUACCGGCGCCCAACUGACGCUGAAGCACGAAAGCGUGGGUAUCGAACAGGAUUAGAUACCCUGGUAGUCCACGCAGUAAACGAUGAAUACUAGCUGUCCGGGGCGAAUGAGCCCUGGGUGGCACAGCGAAAGCGUUAAGUAUUCCACCUGGGGAGUACGCCGGCAACGGUGAAACUCAAAGGAAUUGACGGGGGCCCGCACAAGCGGAGGAACAUGUGGUUUAAUUCGAUGAUACGCGAGGAACCUUACCCGGGCUCAAACGACACAGGAACGUACCUGAAAGGGUUCGGCUCUACGGAGCCUGUGUCGAGGUGCUGCAUGGUUGUCGUCAGCUCGUGCCGUGAGGUGUCGGCUUAAGUGCCAUAACGAGCGCAACCCCCAUCGACAGUUGCUAACAGGUUAGGCUGAGGACUCUGUCGAGACUGCCGGCGCAAGCUGCGAGGAAGGCGGGGAUGACGUCAAAUCAGCACGGCCCUUACGUCCGGGGCGACACACGUGUUACAAUGGCAGGUACAGCGGGAAGCCACCUGGCGACAGGGAGCGGAACCCGAAAGCCUGUCUCAGUUCGGAUUGGAGUCUGCAACCCGACUCCAUGAAGCUGGAUUCGCUAGUAAUCGCGCAUCAGCCACGGCGCGGUGAAUACGUUCCCGGGCCUUGUACACACCGCCCGUCAAGCCAUGGAAGCCGGGGGUGCCUGAAGUGCGCUGCCGCGAGGAGCGCCCUAGGGUAAAACCGGUGACUGGGGCUAAGUCGUAACAAGGUA
rnacentral:rRNA from 1 species